rnacentral:lncRNA from 1 species
AUGAAAAAUAACCGGCUAGAAGAGUGUUCAGUAAAGUGAUUCGAUGAAACUUUCAGAUUUUUCAUUGAUUUACUAAAACACCUGAGUUGACAAUCUGCUUGCAAAAAUCCGAGAUAACAUCCUUGUUGAAAAUAGUUAAAACAAUAAGACACAAGCCGAAAUGAGAGCAAAGAUUUUGGAUACGAGUGAAAAAAGUGCGGAAAGCACGAGCAGAAAAAUGAUAAAAGAAGUCAGAUUCAGAACGAUUCAGAACUUCAGAAGUCUAUACCUCUACGUCACACAGGUUAUGUUAUGACUUUCCAAAAAGUUCCGGUCCUCUGUUCCGGCGCUUCCGGUUUGGUAUUUACAGAUUAGCUUUUUGAUUGGUUGAUAGAACUGAGUCCCUGGUCCUGGUCCCACAGGACCUCGUAGUCCCUACCAAUAGUAUUACAGGAAUCCUCUCUUUGUUUUAUGAUUGGUUUUCGUCUCGCCGAUGAGCCCCCCUUAGCCCCCUUCGUGCUUGUUGUUGUAUCAACAGAACUGAGGUGAUAAGGUAUUCAUUUUAGAUAUUUUCAAUUUUCAUAUUUUUGCUGUUUCAGCAAUUAGCUUUGCACUUCGUAGCUGCUCCGCAGUUUCAUGAAAAACACUUAACCUUUGAAUCCUUCCAGAGUCGAACCAAAUUCAAUGUAUUUUCUGUGUGUAUAAAUGUCUAUCCAGCCAUAGCAAUACCAUAACAUGACACUUCCAUUGUGCUCCAAGACCUCAAGUGUGGGCAUUUUAGUGCCGGUCUAGUCACAUUAUCGUGAAUAUCUGACGAUGAAUUACUAUUCCCAACUGCCUUAAUCUAUUUCUGCCAUAGCUUGAAGCCUUUGAGAUGGCCUCAUCCAGCAGUGUUGGUGGUCCAGCCUGCGCCUCAGCGGAAACAUCUGAAGAAGCCAUGAGGAGGUUCAAGUUCUACGCUCAGAGAAAAUUUGCUCAAGGAAUGUCAUCGCCUUCAAUAACAAGUGAAGAGAUGGCUAAAACCAAUGAUAGCUCAACUGCCACUAAUUCCAAAGCUGCACCAUUAUCAGCGGAGGAAGUUCCAGAAGCAACACAUGUGUUACCAGCCAAAAGGCCAAACACAGAGGAUUUUUUAACAUUUCUUUGUUUUCGAAGAACAAGUAUUUUACCUCCGAGUUUACAUUUUUUCAAUACUGCCUGUACCUAUGAGACUGAUUCCCCCUCAUUCAAUGAUGAUAAGACUUCUAAUCAUAGCACCAGCAGAAACCCAUCGAUUUCUAACUGCCCAACCAAGCAGGGUCCUGUUGCAAUGACAAAAAAAAUCCCUAAAAUCAGGAAAGCAAUCUGCUAAGAACACCAUCGAACGGCGAAAAUUAGCCCAGAAAGUAAAAGUCAAACAUUUGAAAACUGCUAAUGUGA